rnacentral:rRNA from 1 species
CAGUAGCCGCGGUAAUACAGAGGGUGCAAGCGUUAAUCGGAAUUACUGGGCGUAAAGCGUGCGCAGGCGGUUAUAUAAGACAGAUGUGAAAUCCCCGGGCUCAACCUGGGAACUGCAUUUGUGACUGUAUAGCUAGAGUACGGCAGAGGGGGAUGGAAUUCCGCGUGUAGCAGUGAAAUGCGUAGAUAUGCGGAGGAACACCGAUGGCGAAGGCAAUCCCCUGGGCCUGUACUGACGCUCAUGCACGAAAGCGUGGGGAGCAAACAGGAUUAGAUACCCCAGUAGUCCCUGUCUCUUAUAC